AUUGAACGCUGGCGGAAUGCUUUACACAUGCAAGUCGAGCGGCAGCGCGGGGCAACCUGGCGGCGAGCGGCGAACGGGUGAGUAACAUAUCGGAACGUACCCAGUCGUGGGGGAUAACUAUCCGAAAGGAUAGCUAAUACCGCAUACGACCUGAGGGUGAAAGCGGGGGACCGAAAGGCCUCGCGCGAUUGGAGCGGCCGAUAUCGGAUUAGCUAGUUGGUGAGGUAAAGGCUCACCAAGGCGACGAUCCGUAGCUGGUCUGAGAGGACGACCAGCCACACUGGAACUGAGACACGGUCCAGACUCCUACGGGAGGCAGCAGUGGGGAAUUUUGGACAAUGGGGGCAACCCUGAUCCAGCCAUUCCGCGUGAGUGAAGAAGGCCUCGG
rnacentral:rRNA from 1 species